CAGCCGCCGCGGGAAUACAGAGGGUGCGAGCGUUAAUCGGAUUUACUGGGCGUAAAGCGUGCGUAGGCGGCUUUUUAAGUCGGAUGUGAAAUCCCUGAGCUUAACUUAGGAAUUGCAUUCGAUACUGGGAAGCUAGAGUAUGGGAGAGGAUGGUAGAAUUCCAGGUGUAGCGGUGAAAUGCGUAGAGAUCUGGAGGAAUACCGAUGGCGAAGGCAGCCAUCUGGCCUAAUACUGACGCUGAGGUACGAAAGCAUGGGGAGCAAACAGGAUUAGAUACCUGCGUAGUCCCUGUCUCUUAUAC
rnacentral:rRNA from 1 species